UACGUAGGGUGCGAGCGUUAAUCGGAGUUACUGGGCGUAAAGCGUGCGCAGGCGGUUCGUUGUGUCGGCGGUGAAAGCCCCGGGCUCAACCUGGGAAUGGCCGUUGAAACUGGCGAACUGGAGUGUGGCAGAGGGGGGUGGAAUUCCGCGUGUAGCAGUGAAAUGCGUAGAGAUGCGGAGGAACACCGAUGGCGAAGGCAGCCCCCUGGGCUAACACUGACGCUCAGGCACGAAAGCGUGGGGAGCAAACAGG
rnacentral:rRNA from 1 species